GAUGAACGCUGGCGGCGUGCCUAAUACAUGCAAGUCGAGCGAACAGACGAGGAGCUUGCUCCUCUGACGUUAGCGGCGGACGGGUGAGUAACACGUGGAUAACCUACCUAUAAGACUGGGAUAACUUCGGGAAACCGGAGCUAAUACCGGAUAACAUGUUGAACCGCAUGGUUCAACAGUGAAAGACGGUUUUGCUGUCACUUAUAGAUGGAUCCGCGUCGCAUUAGCUAGUUGGUAAGGUAACGGCUUACCAAGGCAACGAUGCGUAGCCGACCUGAGAGGGUGAUCGGCCACACUGGAACUGAGACACGGUCCAGACUCCUACGAGAGGCAGCAGUAGGGAAUCUUCCGCAAUGGGCGAAAGCCUGACGGAGCAACGCCGCGUGAGUGAAGAAGGUCUUCGGAUCGUAAAACUCUGUUAUUAGGGAAGAACAAAUGUGUAAGUAACUAUGCACGUCUUGACGGUACCUAAUCAGAAAGCCACGGCUAACUACGUG
rnacentral:rRNA from 1 species